CUUAACCAAAACACUUUGCGACUUUCUCUAUCAAUGUUCUUCAAAAAAAAAAAAAAAUCUAGAUUCUUGUAGUUCAGCAACAACCUUGAUCCAAUUUUACUUCAAAUUCUGUUGUCUUUGUCGAAAUACAUCAAUCACUAAUUUCAUUUCGUUCGAAAUUACAAAAAUCGUGUUCUCAAUUGUUUGCUAAAUCGAUCGAAUUGAUUCAAAUCUGAAGAAACUCAAAUCUGAAGUUGAUGUUAAUUUGAAGAAACUCAAAUCUGAAAAAGCAAAAAAAAAAAAAAAAACAGAGAAUGGUUGGGAAUGGAGUUGAUGUUUUUGGGACUGAGUUCCCAACAGUUUUCAAUUUGGUUUUUUCUAUGGAGGUGAUGGAACUGCAAUUCUCACUGGUGUAACUGGUGUUUGAUGAAAUUCCUGACAGAUCCAAGUAUAUGGGUAAUGGUUGUUUCAGGGAGAUCUUGUAUGGUAAAAUGUAUUGAAGAUGUCGGUUCAAUUCAGUGGAGAAAAGAUGGUUUGGGCACAGUGAAAGGUGCAGAAAGAUUUAGUGCCACAAUGUACAACAGCGCAUCCAUUGGUAAAAGUGAUCAUUGGUUGUGAACUUGAUUAUGUACUGUCUAUGCGCUGCUAAAAGAGCUUGUAAUUCUCUUGCUUAAGUGGCAAUAUACUGAUUGUAAUC